AUGAGGAGUGGAAAAGGUUCAAAAGAAGGACUAGAUACAGCAGAAGCAGAGAUACCCAGCAGGAAGAACAGCCUCGCGGCUGUCCUGUCCUCGUCCUCGACAUCUACUAAAAUAAAAGUACCAAUCCCUCAGCCCGUCGUCCCUGUGAAGAAAGACAAACGGCAGAAUUCUUCACGCUUUAAUGCCAGCAGUAAUAGAGAGCUACAAAAACUCCCAUCUUUAAAAGAUGUGCCUCCUGCAGAUCAAGAGAAGCUUUUUAUCCAGAAGCUACGCCAGUGUUGUGUCCUCUUUGACUUUGUCUCUGACCCACUGAGUGACCUGAAGUGGAAGGAAGUAAAGCGGGCUGCGAUAAGCGAGAUGGUGGAGUAUAUCACCCACAACCGGAACGUGAUCACAGAGCCCAUUUACCCCGAGGCCGUCCACAUGUUUGCAGUUAACCUGUUCCGAACCUUGCCACCUUCCUCCAAUCCUACAGGAGCAGAAUUCGACCCAGAAGAAGAUGAGUCAACGUUAGAAGCAGCCUGGCCUCAUCUGCAGCUUGUUUAUGAAUUUUUCUUAAGAUUUUUAAAGUCUCCAGAUUUCCAGCCCAAUAUAGCAAAGAAAUAUAUUGAUCAAAAGUUUGUAUUGCAGCUUCUAGAGCUCUUUGACAGCGAGGAUCCUCGUGAGAGAGAUUUUCUAAAAACCACCCUGCACAGAAUCUAUGGGAAGUUCUUAGGCCUGCGCGCUUCCAUCAGGAAACAGAUCAAUAAUACAUUUUAUAGGUUUAUCUAUGAGACAGAGCACCACAAUGGCAUAGCAGAGUUACUGGGGAUCCUGGGGAGUAUAAUUAAUGGAUUUUUACCACUAAAGGAAGAGCACAAGAGUUUCCUGUUGAAGGUGUUGCUGCCCUUGCACAAAGUGAAAUCCCUGAGUGUCUACCAUCCCCAGCUGGCGUACUGUGUCGUGCAGUUUUUAGAGGACAGCACCCUCACUGAACCAGUGGUAAUGGCACUUCUCAAAUACUGGCCAAAGACUCACAGUCCAAAAGAAGUAAUGUUCUUAAAUGAGUUAGAAGAAAUUUUAGAUGUAAUUGAACCAUCAGAAUUUGUGAAGAUCAUGGAGCCUCUUUUCCGACAGUUAGCCAAAUGUGUUUCUAGCCCUCACUUCCAGGUGGCAGAGCGGGCGCUAUAUUACUGGAACGAUGAGUACAUCAUGAGUUUAAUCAGUGACAAUGCAGCGAAGAUUCUGCCCAUCAUGUUUCCGUCCUUAUACCGAAACUCAAAGACCCACUGGAACAAGACAAUACACGGCUUGAUAUACAACGCCCUGAAACUCUUCAUGGAGAUGAGCCAAAAACUCUUUGAUGACUGCACCCAGCAGUUCAAAGCAGAGAAACUCAAAAAGAAGCUAAAAAUGAAAGAGCGAGAAGAAGCAUGGGUUAAAAUAGAAAAUCUAGCCAAAGCGAAUCCC